rnacentral:rRNA from 1 species
AGCAGUAGCCGCGGUAAUACGAAGGGCGCAAGCGUUAAUCGGAAUUACUGGGCGUAAAGCGUGCGUAGGUGGUGGUUUAAGUCCGUUGUGAAAGCCCUGGGCUCAACCUGGGAAUUGCAGUGGAUACUGGGUCACUAGAGUGUGGUAGAGGAUAGUGGAAUUUCCGGUGUAGCAGUGAAAUGCGUAGAGAUCGGAAGGAACAUCUGUGGCGAAGGCGACUAUCUGGGCCAACACUGACACUGAGGCACGGAAGCGUGGGGAGCAAACAGGAUUAGAUACCCCAGUAGUCCCUGUCUCUUAUAC